GUCUACGGCCAUGCUACCCUGAACAAGCCCAAUCCAGUCUGAUCUUGAAAGCUAAGAAGGGUCGGGCCUGGUUAGUACUUGGAUGGAAGACCACCUAGGAAGACCAGGUGCUGUAGGCU
rfam:Pteropus alecto contig75283, whole genome shotgun sequence.